UCGUCUGGAUAGCAAUAUUCGGGCGUGAGAGUGGCGGAUGGGAGGAGCACGUGAGCAACCUGCCCUGGAGAUGUGGAAAACCUCUGGAAACGGAGGCUAAUACAGAAUGUGGCGCCCCAUGGCAUCAUGGGAGCGCCGAAGGGGGCCGCAAGGCUCCCGCUCCGGGAUGGGCUCGCGCACCAUCAGCUAGUUGGCGGGGUAACGGCCCACCAAGGCCUACGGUUAGCUGGUCUGAGAGGAUGACCAGCCCCACUGGGACUGAGAUACUGCCCAGACUCCUACGGGAGGCUGCAGUCGAGGAUCAUUCGCAAUGGACGGAAGUCUGACGAUGCGACGCUGCGUGGAGGAUUGAAGGCCUUCGGGUCGUAAACUCCUGUCAUGAGGGAAGAGGCGAGGGAAGCUAAUACCUUCUUUAGUUGACUGUACCUCAAGAGGAAGCGACGGCUAACUCUGUGCCAGCCGCAGC
rnacentral:rRNA from 1 species